GGGGAUGUGGUCCAACGGAAAGAUACUACUGUUCUUGCGUCUAUCGCCGGGACGGUAGUGAUGCCUGUUCGAUUCCGGCCUUCUCCA